rnacentral:misc_RNA from 1 species
UACAGAGGGUGCAAGCGUUGUUCGGAAUUACUGGGCGUAAAGGGCGCGUAGGCGGCCCUGCAAGUCAGAUGUGAAAUCCCGAGGCUUAACUUCGGAAGUGCAUUUGAAACUGUAGGGCUAGAGUUCAGUAGAGGUUGGCGGAAUACCCAGUGGAGAGGUGAAAUUCGUAGAUAUUGGGUGGAACACCGGUGGCGAAGGCGGCCAACUGGGCUGACACUGACGCUGAGGCGCGAGAGCAUGGGUAGCAAACAGG